UACGUAGGGGGCAAGCGUUGUCCGGAAUCAUUGGGCGUAAAGGGCGCGUAGGCGGUUCGGUAAGUCGGCUGUGAAAGUCCAGGGCUCAACCCUGGGAUGCCGGUCGAUACUGCCGGACUAGAGUUCGGAAGAGGCGAGUGGAAUUCCCGGUGUAGCGGUGAAAUUCGUAGAUAUCGGGAGGAACACCGGUGGCGAAGGCGGCUACCUGGACAAUUGCUGACGCUCAGGCACGAAAGCGUGGGGAGCAAAAGGG
rnacentral:rRNA from 1 species